UACGUAGGGGGCUAGCGUUGUCCGGAAUCAUUGGGCGUAAAGAGCGUGUAGGCGGCCCGGUAAGUCCGCUGUAAAAGUCAAAGGCUCAACCUUUGAAUGUCAGUGGAUACUGCCGGGCUAGAGUCCGGAAGAGGCGAGUGGAACUCCUGGUGUAGCGGUGGAAUGCGCAGAUAUCAGGAAGAACACCAACGGCGAAGGCAGCUCGCUGGGACGGUACUGACGCUGAGACGCGAAACGUGGGGAGCGAACAGG
rnacentral:rRNA from 1 species